UUGGCAUUUAAUGUAGAUAAAUGCAAAGUAAUGCACCUGGGGAAUAAAAACCCAAGGGCAGAGUAUAGAAUAUUUGGUACUGUCCUAACCUCAACGUGUGAGGAAAGGGAUUUAGGGGUAAUUAUUUCUGAGGAUUUAAAGGUAGGCAGGCAAUGCAGUAGAGCAGCAGGGAAGUGCUCAUGCCGUUGUACAGAUCACUGGUGAGACCUCACUUGGAGUAUUGUGUACAGUACUGGAGACCGUAUCUCCAGAAGGAUAUAGAAAUGUUGGAGAAAGUGCAGAGAAGGGCUACUAAAAUGGUUUAUGGAUUACAAGAUAAACCUUACCAAGACAGGUUAAAGGAUCUUAACCUAUAUAGCCUGGAAAAAAGACGGGACAGGGGGGAUAUGAUAGAAACAUUUAAAUACUUAAAGGGAAUCAACAA